AAUGAACGUUGGCGGCGUGGAUUAGGCAUGCGAGUCGUGCGAGAACCGUAGCAAUACGGGGACAGCGGCGAAAGGGAGAGGAACACGUGGAUACCUACCCUCAGGUUCAGGAUAGCUAUGGGAAACUAUAGGUAAUACUGAAUAAUAUCUCCGGAUCAAAGGUGUGAUCCGCCGGAGGAGGGGUCCGCGUCCUAUUAGCUAGUUGGUGAGGUAAUGGCUCACCCAAAGGCGAAGAUGGGUACGGGAUGUGAGAACAUGAUCCCGCUCAUUGGGACUGAGACACUGCCCAGACACCUACGGGUGGCUGCAGUCGAGAAUCUUCGGCAAUGGGGGAAACCCUGACCGAGCGACGCCGCGUGUGAGAUGAAGGCCU
rnacentral:rRNA from 1 species